UACGUAGGGUGCGAGCGUUGUCCGGAAUUAUUGGGCGUAAAGGGCUCGUAGGCGGUCUGUUGCGUCAGGAGUGAAAACUCGGGGCUUAACCCCGAGCCUGCUUCUGAUACGGGCAGACUAGAGGUAUGCAGGGGAGAACGGAAUUCCUGGUGUAGCGGUGAAAUGCGCAGAUAUCAGGAGGAACACCGGUGGCGAAGGCGGUUCUCUGGGCAGUUCCUGACGCUGAGGCACGAAGGCCAGGGGAGCAAACGGG
rnacentral:rRNA from 1 species